UACGGGGGGCAAGGCAGUUGUUCGGAAUUACUGGGCGUAAAGGGCUCGUAGGUGGCCAACUAAGUCAGACGUGAAAUCCCUCGGCUUAACCGGGGAACUGCGUCUGAUACUGGAUGGCUUGAGUUUGGGAGAGGGACGCGGAAUUCCAGGUGUAGCGGUGAAAUGCGUAGAUAUCAUUUGGAACGCCAACGGUGAAAACAGCUCGCUGGGGACCUGCUGACGCUGGAGACACGAAAGCCAGGGGAGCGAACGGG
rnacentral:rRNA from 1 species